rnacentral:rRNA from 1 species
AUGGCCGCUACAAACCCUUCCUACUACCAGAGUGGUGCUUGCCAGGAAAUCAGACACAAGGAGCAUCUCUUCCACUUAUACAUGAACCAGGUAUUUGAUGGUAAACUAGUUACCAACGCCAACCAACUCGCUAUUGUUACUCCAGGUCUUCCCAAUUCGUUUGGUGUCACCAUUGCAAACGACUGGACCAUACUUGAUGGUCUGGGCGCGGAUGCAAACCUUGUGGCACGUGCUCGUGGCAUGCACAUGGGUGUGGGUAAAGCCGACAUGAGCUGGUUAUUCUGUCACACUAUAUUGUUUGCUGAUACCAGUAGGUUUAAGGGAUCCAGCCUAAAGGUUCUUGGAGAUUUUGUAGGCAAUUGUAGGUGGGACCGGAGAGUUCGCAUAUGCAGAGUAUUCGUCGCCAAAGUAAUCCCAAAUGUACCACCUACUGGUGGGCGUACCUGGGAGCUCCGUAUUAGUGCUUUCAUCUACAAAUACGGUGACUUGGAUUUACGCAAAUGCACCUUUUCAAUAUCAUUGUUUCUAUGUCGCUUGAUCACCUAUGCCCAGACCCCAGUCACCAAGAUGGGACCUUGGGGUGCAGAUGGAGGGACAGCCUUUGACAUCACGGAGCUGCCUCGUUCUCUUCAAACCGUGACAAUUCGAUGUGGCGACGUUAUUAACUCAAUUGGGUUUUCCUACACCGACCAAGCUGGUCAGAAGAAAAUUGCUGGACCAUGGGGUGGUGAUGGUGCACUUAGUGUGACGAUCACACUUGCUCCUUCCGAGUUCAUCAAGCAAGUUCAGGGAACAACCGGUGUAGUGGGAGGAGUGACUGUUGUUACAUCACUUACUUUGGUCAGCAGUGUUACAACGUAUGGGCCUUUUGGGAAAGCAAAUGGCACUCCUUUUAGCAGCCAGGUUCCAGAUAGUAACAGUAUCGGGGGGUUCUAUGCACGUGCUGGGGGAUCUUUUAAUGCACUUGGAGUUUACGCCUGCCCAAUUUAG